CGGGAUCGAUGUACGAUUUCGUAACCACGUGUAAACAUUAUGGCAUCCUGCGACGUUUUGUACGUCCUCAGGAAAAGAUUCAGGUGCGUGAAUUGUCAACGAGUCUUCAGUUUCCGGCUCUGAUUUUGAUGAAUAUGAUUCUGACAGCAAACAUUCAUUUGGUAGCGAAACGGAUGUAGUGAUGAUGAUACCGAAUCAACAACGUUUGAAUUUGAAAAAGAAACAGAUAUUUAUGAGAUGUUAUGGAGAUGGCUACAAUUAUGAUUUUCGGCUUUAUGGAAUAGUAGAAUUUUCUUUAUGAGAGAUGACAAUUAUUAGGAAAAAGAGUUGUCAAAUACUUGUGCAGACUGCAGACUUUUCAAAUUAAAGGUCACCAUGUGUUCCUUGACAGAUUAUUCAAAUUCAUUUCCCUGGAUAGGGCUGGGCUUUACAAUGAGAGUUUCAGCUGUGGAGCUAUAAAAAAUUACUACAUAGUGUUUCCAAUGUAGUUUUGUGAACAGAAUCCAGAAAUAAGAAGAGGAGAGACAAUGCAGAUGCAGCAUUAGCAUUACCAAUUACUUGCCACUGCUGAGAAAAUGGUAAGAUAUGUUAUACUAUAGUACAUGUAUAGGAAUUGCCUUGUCUGUCUGUCGAUUUGCCACAUGCAUUUUUCCCUAUUCUGUUACUUUACUUCAAGGAUAUAUGAAGCUCUUGUUUUCUUCAAAGAUAGCCAGAAGAAUUUGUGAAGAAUCUUACCCGAGUCAUUUGAUGACAUUUUCUUAAAUUGGAAAAUAUAAAUGUAGCAUUAUCAUAAACAUGACAUUUAUUUUAAAAAUCUUAGAAUAUGUCUAGUAUGGUUUGUUUCAAUUUAAUUUGAAAACUGUCCUUUUUCACAGGUACAUGCUUUGAGUACUACUUUUGUGUACUUGGAGACAGUCCAGUUGUUCUUUAAACCAGGAGUGGAAAUUUCAAUGCUUGUUAAAUUUUCUCCAGAAGUUAUUGGAUGUCACAUAAGAAGAAAAUGGGGUCAUACUGAACAGAAUAGUUUAGAUACACCUGAUAGAUUUUGAAAGGUUGAGACCUCAAGAUCAAUCCAAUGGUGUACCAAACAUGAAGAAAAAAAGACAGUUUAUAACUGAAGAAGCUUGCGUAGUAGCCAAAAUUUCAGGGUAUUUCAUAUAUGUUAACUUGUACGAUUUUAUUGGUACAUGUACUUAAACAUUGUUAACAUCUUGAUAUUUAAUAUGUAUCAGGUUUCACUUGCAGGAAUAAACAAAAAAUCAGAGUAAAUUUUAAGAGUUUGUUAUGUUAGAUAAGAUCAAAGACCAUGGUCAACAGUGCUUUAGUUUUACCAAAUAUAACAUUAUUAGAAAGACCAAUUUCCUGUAUACAGGUAUAGCAAAUAAUUCAGAAUAUGAUUUGGGAAACUGUGAUUUUUUUCUUUUAAAUCUUAUCUUAAUUUAGAACCAUGAUGUAUACUUAAGCAAGUAGAUUUUUUCAAGCAUACAAAAUUUCAAGGUCAUUUUAAUUUUGGAAAUGAAUAUAGAAUAUCAGGAAGAAGUCAAGCAUUGUAAUUUUU